GCGCUUUGUCUCCCUAAGUGGCUAACUGAGGUGUGAAAGGGUCUGUGGUGAGUGGACAAAGGAGCACAAAGGGCAAAAGGUGAGGAAAUGGAGGCUUCAAGGUCAAACCCCUUGCCCAGAGACAUGCAGCAGAAAGUGAUGAAGCUGAGAUUUGAACUUGCACCUGUCUGCCUGCAAAUCCCAUCUCUUCCUGCUGUGCCAGAGACAGCAGAAGGGCCCACGGCUGUGUAGAUGUGGCCUAUUAGCCUCUCAAGUCUAGAGCAAGCCCCUCAGUGUGGGGCCCCUCCCUAGCCGCACUUCCUGCCACACCUGUCCUUCAAGCAGCCGCCUUUCUUUAGAACCCCACGUCUACUGUGGUGAUCACUCUGCAUAGCUGCUUUAGAAACAUAUGAAGAUAACAGAAGGAUCUCAUCUGCAACCCAGAGCUCUCUGUGCCUGGUGGUGACUCCCAAGAAGCUCCCAUAAGGAAGAGGUCCCUCAAAGAACACACUGAACACAGUGGACCCUCUGCUGCCA
rnacentral:lncRNA from 1 species